rnacentral:rRNA from 1 species
GGUCAAGUUAUUAAGAGUCCAUGGUGAAUGCCUUGGGGUCAAGGACUGAAGAAGGGCGUGGCAAGACUGCGAAAAGCCUCGGUCAGCCGUCUAGCGGGCUUAGCCGGGGAUUCCCGAAUUGGGAAACCAGUUCCGGGUCAUACCGGAACAUUCUGAUUUUUAUCAGAAAGGUAAGUGGGCGAACUGAAACAUCUAAGUAGCCCGAGGAAAAUAAAUCAACCGAGAUUCCCCUAGUAGUGGUGAACGAACGGGGAAUAGCCUAAACCAAACAGGCUUAACGGUCUGAGGACCUAUGUCUGAUUGGUGUUGUAACACCUACCUGCUUCAACCUCAGCAAGAAGCAAAAAGUUACAAAACCGUCUUCUAGAUGAAAGCGUCUGGAAAGAACUGCCAAAGAGGGUGAUAGCCCCGUAGUUGAAAGGAGACGGACUUUUGGUAGGCUGUUGAGUACCACGGGACACGUGGAAUCCUGUGGGAAUCUGGGGGGACCACCCUCCAAGGCUAAAUAUCCUUGACCACCGAUAGUGAACCAGUACCGUGAGGGAAAGGUGAAAAGUACCUCGAACAGAGGAGUGAAAUAGAUCCUGAAACCCUGUGUUUACAAGCAGUGGAAGCAAUACUGAUCUUCGGAUCAUGUGCGACCGCGUGCCUUUUGCAUAAUGAGCCAACGAGUUGUCUGUCGGUGGCAGGUUAAGUUUAUAACGGAGCCACAGCGAAAGCGAGUCUGAAGUGGGCGUUCGUCAUCGGCAACAGACCCGAAACCGAGUGAUCUACCCCUGUCCAGGUUGAAGCCUGGGUAAGACCAGGUGGAGGACCGAACCGCUGAGCCUUAAAACGUUCUCGGAUGAGGUGGGGGUAGGAGUGAAAGGCUAAUCAAACUCGGAAAUAGCUGGUUCUCCCCGAAAUAUAUUGAGGUAUAGCUUCGUGAUAGACCGUCGGAGGUAGAGCACUGGAUGGACUAGGGCCCCCACCAGGGUACCAAACCCAACCAAACUACGAAUGCCGAUGAGUUGUUUCACGGAAGUCAGACAGCGAGAGCUAACUUUCGUUGUCGAGAGGGAAACAACCCAGACCAUCAGCUAAGGCCCCCAAGUCAUGACUAAGUGGGA